UACGUAGGGGGCAAGCGUUGUCCGGAUUUAUUGGGCGUAAAGAGCGUGUAGGGCCUGACAGGUCUGCUGUGAAAACUCGAGGCUCAACCUCGAGAUGUCGGCGGAAACCGUCUGGCUAGAGUCCGGAAGAGGAGAGUGGAAUUCCUGGUGUAGCGGUGAAAUGCGCAGAUAUCAGGAAGAACACCUAUGGCGAAGGCAGCUCUCUGGGACGGUACUGACGCUGAGACGCGAAAGCGUGGGGAGCGAACAGG
rnacentral:rRNA from 1 species